UCCAGGUAACUUUCAAAAACCGAGCUCCAGUCCGAGUCCCGCUCCAGUCCCGCUGGAUUUCCACCACCCGCUCCCUGGCCACAACCUCACGCAUGCGUCCAGGAAGAUCCAGGUGUUGUGACUCAAGGUGGCAGAAUUGCGCCCGGUUCGGAGAUGAGAUGCUCGAAGACUCAAGAGAGGCAGGACUAAACCAAAGUGACUUCCGGGUGAUAACUUUACCAUUUUCAGAUUUUGCAGACGGGAUGAGACCAGAGUGGUACGUGCUGAACAUGGAUUGAACAUCUGUGAAUGGCAGGCUUAGCAUACACAGGUGUUGAUGUGAGGAAAAAGGCACCAAGCUGAAGAGGUGAGGUAUGCGCCUUAUGCGCACACCUCAUGGACCACAUGUGCACUCGCCAUGGACCACACCUCAGUUAGAAAGACCCAACUCAGGACUAGAAGGGCAAGCAGCGCUGACCAGGCCUCGUUAGGGAGGAGCGGCCUGUCCCAGCACUGACCCCACAUCCACAGCCCCCGCACCUGUAAUUGAUGUUUCUCCGUGAGUUGAUGUCCCAGCUCUGGAUGGCUGCCCACAUGCGCUCCUCCACCUCCUCCCGCUGGGGUUCACAGAUGCCCCAGGCCUCGGGCCCAUCAAACAUGAUGUGGGAGAGGACGCCGCAGGCGUUGUAGGAAACCUCAAUUCCAUCUGCCUUGCUCUCCAGCAGGUUGCUGCCAAGAAGGAAGAAAAAUGGAGUCCAGAUCCCCAAGGCCCACUUCAGAUACCGGCUGCCGGACUCCAACUCAGAUUAGAUGCCAGAGGGACUACUGAUUUCUUUAUCACUUAUAAUCCACACCCAGAUGGCAGUUUUUUUUUUUUGGCUGUGCUGCACACCUAGUGGGAUCUUAGUUCCCUGGCCAGGACUUGAACCCGGGCCCUUGAGACUGAAAGUGCUGAGUCUUAACCACUCAACCGCCAGGGAAUUUCCCAUGACUUCUUUUUCAUUAAAAAAAAUUUCUUUUUGGCCA